rnacentral:lncRNA from 1 species
CCCCCUGUCUAUAUGUCAUACUUGAGAUAAGUCAUUCUUGAAUUCAAAACCUUUGAAUUCAAGAGACAUAUUGAUAAGUUAAAAUCAUUUAAACUUAUCAAUACUCCCAUCAUGAUUCCUAUCAUGAUGUUUCUCUCUGAAGAUGAUGUCAAGGCUUGACAUUCAUUUUCAAAUUUUACAUUACAAGUUUGAAUGAUGGUAAUAGUAGCAAUUCAUCAUAUUGUAAGAUGUCAACAUGUAAAACUACGAAGUAAGAUUUUGAUAUCAUUACAUGAUGCACACAUUUCUAAUGUUUUAGCAAUUAUUG